rnacentral:lncRNA from 1 species
GUUAUUUUUGAGCGGGCUCCAUGAGGAAAGAGAUACUCCAAGAGUCCAUGGUUGGUGUGACAUCAGAGGUUGGAUCAACAUAAUAGUGGUUGCUACGCUCAUGUUUCUGAGCAUGGUUACACCUGGUUCGACAGUUAGCGGCUCAGAACAAGUCAGUGAUUUCAGCGUCGCGCCGGAUGAAGAGCUUGUCCAGUUGGUGCAGAGAAUGGGCACCGUCGAUCACAGUGUAUUCGAGAUCGCGGAGAAUCGAAUCACUCCUUUAGCAGUUAUUUACGUGAAUCGAAAGCGUGGAGUCGGGCACUUCACCACGGUGCAGGCUGCCAUUGAUCACGUGCCUGUGAACAAUGACCGUAGAGUCCACAUUAUCGUCGCGCCGGGUGUCUACAAGUAAAUACACAUUAACCUCAUCUGCUUGAAUUCCUUGUUGAGAAUUGAGGUCAAUCUAAUCUCUACAAUGCAGAAUCUCUGCUUGAUCGUAUUUGGAAUUUAUCUGGAUGCCGACGAUGAAUUGCCUGGUUUGACCAAUAGGAAAGGAUUCAAAACUGAGCCCAAGUGAUUGAAAAUGGUGCAGAGAGAAGAUAGUAGUACCAUCGUCGAAACCAUAUGUUACAAUUCUAGGCGGAGGAUGGAACAACACAAUCCUGCAAUGGAAUGACACUGCUGACUGCGCUGACAAGGAAGGUGCGAAGCUUGGCACCUACUGGAGCGCCUCCUUAGCUGUUGAAGCUCAGUACUUUAUUGCCCGUAACAUCACAAUUAAGGUUUGUGUUUCUGAGGGUACCUACGUAUGAAAAUACUUGUGUGCUUUGAGGUCAUCUAUUAAUACUGUAACUUGGAGGGAUCUAAUUACUAUUGCAAUUCUGAACAAUUAUAAUUCUUCUUUGGGUGUUAUGAAAAGAAUACGGCUUCCAUGCCGGCUGCAGGAGCAGCAGGAAAGCAAGCAGUGGCGCUGCGUGUAACAGGGGACACAGCAGCUUUCUAUGGCUGUCGGUUCAUGAGCACCCAGGAUACUCUCUACGAUCAUGUGGGCCGCCAUUACUUCAAAGACUGCUACAUUGAGGGCUCCAUUGACUUCGUCUUCGGAAACGGUCGGUCUCUUUACGAGGUAACUAGUGUAUGCCAAAGUUUUAGUCCAGUUCUAUUGACCUGUAAAUGAUCGACAAAACCGUCGUAAUAUUUGGGUACAAGGGAUACAAACUGAUUUCAGUGGGUUUGGUAAUUCGAUCCCUUUGGAACCAGAGCUGCCAUCUCCAUGCCUUACCGCGAACAACUUUCGGAUCAGUGGCUGCACAAAAGCGAGGAAACGUGUCAGAGCAAACAGGCUUCUCGUUCCUGAAUUGCAAGAUCACAGGGUCAGGGCUCUUAUACUUGGGGCGCGCCUGGGGAUCCUACGCUCGCGUCGUGUACUCAUACACCUACAUGGACAACAUCAUCGUCCCUGCCGGAUGGUCCAACUGGAACGACCCGCGACGAAACAAGUUCUGGCCCCAGCAACUCCCUCUAGUUUCCAACCUUGUCAUUAAAAUGCUUGUCGAAUUCGUGUUCGAGUGUUGAUCACCUUUACUACACGAUUGACUGCAGUUGGCAAUGACAGUAUGUUAUGACAUGGACUCUCGCUUACUAAAAUGCCGAUGAUCUGUCGUUCACGAUGUGCAGAACAGUAAUAUUCGGGCAGUACAAGUGCUUCGGGCCAGGAGCCAAACAGACGGGCCGAGUCCCCUGGUCACAUGAGCUCACCGAUACCGAGGCCCGCCCAUUUCUAAGUCUGUCGUUUGUCGAUGGAGACGAAUGGGUGCAACCGUGAUACAUCAACACAUCCCCGAAUGGAAGCCUGCUGAUUCUACACAGACUUCCAGGAACGUCUCUUUCAGGUGAUCAGAAACGUGGGUGAGAUUCGACGUUCUGAGGUAUAGCCUCAUAGCGCCGAUGCUUCGGAGACUCACUAGAUCUUUGUAUCACUCUUAACCUAAUAGUGGCUCUUCGAUGUGUUUGUAGUUAU